rnacentral:rRNA from 1 species
UACGUAGGGGGCUAGCGUUGUCCGGAAUUAUUGGGCGUAAAGCGCGUGUAGGCGGUUCGAUAAGUCUGCUGUAAAAGUCAGGGGCUCAACCCUUGAAAGCCGGUGGAUACUGUCGGGCUAGAGUACGGAAGAGGCGAGUGGAAUUCCUGGUGUAGCGGUGAAAUGCGCAGAUAUCAGGAGGAACACCCAUUGCGAAAGCAGCUCGCUGGUACGUAAACUGACGCUAAGACGCGAAAAGCGUGGGGGAGCAAAACAGG